rnacentral:rRNA from 1 species
CAGUCGCCGCGGUAAUACGAAGGGUGCAAGCGUUAAUCGGAAUUACUGGGCGUAAAGCGUGCGUAGGCGGUUUGUUAAGUCUGUUGUGAAAUCCCCGGGCUCAACCUGGGAAUGGCAAUGGAUACUGGCAGGCUAGAGUGUGUCAGAGGAUGGUGGAAUUCCCGGUGUAGCGGUGAAAUGCGUAGAGAUCGGGAGGAACAUCAGUGGUGAAGGCGGCCAUCUGGGACAACACUGACGCUGAGGCACGAAAGCGUGGGGAGCAAACAGGAUUAGAGACCCAGUAGUCCCUGUCUCUUAUACA